rnacentral:rRNA from 1 species
AGUGAACGCUGGCGGUAGGCCUAACACAUGCAAGUCGAACGGCAGCACAGUAAGAGCUUGCUCUUACGGGUGGCGAGUGGCGGACGGGUGAGGAAUACAUCGGAAUCUACUUUUUCGUGGGGGAUAACGUAGGGAAACUUACGCUAAUACCGCAUACGACCUACGGGUGAAAGCAGGGGAUCUUCGGACCUUGCGCGAUUGAAUGAGCCGAUGUCGGAUUAGCUAGUUGGCGGGGUAAAGGCCCACCAAGGCGACGAUCCGUAGCUGGUCUGAGAGGAUGAUCAGCCACACUGGAACUGAGACACGGUCCAGACUCCUACGGGAGGCAGCAGUGGGGAAUAUUGGACAAUGGGCGCAAGCCUGAUCCAGCCAUACCGUGUGGGUGAAGAAGGCCUUCGGGUUGUAAAGCCCUUUUGUUGGGAAAGAAAAGCAGCAGGUUAAUACCCCGCUGCUCUGACGGUACCCAAAGAAUAAGCACCGGCUAACUUCGUG